rnacentral:rRNA from 1 species
GCCUAAAUUUGAAAUCUCAGCGCAAGCCUGCGAAUUGUAGUUUAGAGAAACAGUUUCUGGGACCGGCCAGCCAGAUACAAGAUUCUUUGGAACAAGGCAUCACAGAGGGUGAAAAUCCCGUCGUUUGACUGGCAGCUUGGUUCCAUGUGAUACGUUUUCCAAGAGUCGGUUUGUUUGGGAAUGCAGACCAAAAUGGGGUGGUAAAUACCAUCUAAAGCUAAAUAUUGGCGAGAGACCGAUAGCGAACAAGUACCGUGAGGGAAAGAUGAAAAGAACUUUGAAAAGAUAGUUAAAUAGUGCGUGAAAUUGUCAAAAGGGAAACGUUUAAAACCAGUAUUGCGGGCAGAAACUCAGGUUCCAUUUAUGGUGCUGUAUUUUUCUGUCAGCGAGUCAACAUCAGUUUUGCUUGGAGUAAAACGCCAGGGGAAGGUAGCCUUCGGGUGUUAUAGCCUCUGGUAAUGCUCUGGGCGGGACUGAGGACUGCAGCGUUCUUUGGGUUUACCACACCAACGCUUAGGAUGUUGACGAAAUGGUUUUAGCGACCCGUCUUGAAACACGGACCAAGGAGUCUAACAUAUAUGCAAGUAUUUGGGUGGCAAACCCUUAUGCGCAAUGAAAGUGAAAAGGUGGGAUCCUUUGUUGGUGCACCAUCGACCGCGCCAGAUUAUUGCUAUCUCGGCGUGAGUAUGAGCAUACAUGUUGGGACCCGAAAGAUGGUGAACUAUGCCUGAAUAGGGUGAAGCCAGAGGAAACUCUGGUGGAGGCUCGUAGCGGUUCUGACGUGCAAAUCGACUCGUCAAAUUUGGGUAUAGGGGCAGAAAGCUAAUCAGA